GAACGAACGCUGGCGGCGUGGAUAAGACAUGCAAGUCGAACGAGAGAAUUGCUAGCUUGCUAAUAAUUCUCUAGUGGCGCACGGGUGAGUAACACGUGAGUAACCUGCCCCCAAGAGUGGGAUAGCCCCGGGAAACUGGGAUUAAUACCGCAUAAAAUCGCAAGAUUAAAGCAGCAAUGCGCUUGGGGAUGGGCUCGCGUCCUAUUAGUUAGUUGGUGAGGUAACGGCUCACCAAGGCGAUGACGGGUAGCCGGUCUGAGAGGAUGUCCGGCCACACUGGAACUGAGACACGGUCCAGACACCUACGGGUGGCAGCAGUCGAGAAUCAUUCACAAUGGGGGAAACCCUGAUGGUGCGACGCCGCGUGGGGGAAUGAAGGUCUUCGGAUUGUAAACCCCUGUCAUGUGGGAGCAAAUUAAAAAGAUAGUACCACAAGAGGAAGAGACGGCUAACUCUGUG
rnacentral:rRNA from 1 species